rnacentral:lncRNA from 1 species
ACGGCGGGACCUGGCAGGGAAGGGACGUCCUUGCUACGAACACACAAGGAGAAAACAGCCAACUGCAACAGCAUGAAAUCCAAACAGCUUUGCCAAAGGGAAGUUCGAGAGGAGCUGAACAACGGCUCUGCUGAAUCCUCUUGCUUUGCAUUUAUUUUUACUUUGCUGUGCAGCUCUUCAACCCUCCAUGUCGCACAGGAAAACCUGUAAAGAGAAGGAUCGCUUUGCACCAGCUUCUUCUCCAACCUGCAGCGCAUCUCUGGUACCACCCGCCUCUCCCCAAAUUCAUCCCCGCUCAGUCCUACCAAUGAGGCUGGAAAAACGUCCUGGCCAGAACCUCCAGCUGCCCCGCAGGGAAGGGCCCCACUGGCCUCUGACGUGGCUCAAGCUUUCCUCAUCAGACUAUUAGAAGCCUAAACAUAAGAGCUGGAAAAGAUCAGCCAGCCUUGCCACCAGAAUAAAUGAACCCAGGACUGCUCGCUACCUUCCCGACAGCUCCAAAGUCACCAGCUGCUUGGUCACCUCUCAGUAAAAUGCAGAAGGAACAUCUUGAACCUCCCCGUGCACAGGGCCAAGACGUACACGGAGAGGUACACAUGAUGCGGACGGCAGAGUCAG